GCGACAGUAUUCGUUGAAAGCAGGAUAUCUUGUCCGAUCUGUUAAGUUAAGCAACGUUGGGCCUGGUCAGUACUUGGAUCGGUGAAAUAAUGACGAAUUUAGCAUAGAUAUAACUC